AGCGAACGCUGGCGGCGUGCUUAACACAUGCAAGUCGAGCGAAGGUGUUUCAAGGGUAACCUUGAGAUACACUUAGCGGCGGACGGGUGAGUAAUACGUGGAUAACUUACCUCUAGGCCUGGGAUAACCCCGGGAAACUGGGGCUAAUACCUGAUAAGACCACAUUGUCUACGGACAAAGGGGUAAAAGGUGGCUGUGCAAACAGCUAUCGCCAAAAGAUAGGUUCACGUCCCAUCAGGCAGUUGGUGAGGUAAUGGCUCACCAAACCAAAGACGGGUAGCCGGCCUUGGCGGGUGAACGGCCACACGGGGACUGAGACACGGCCCCGACUCCUACGGGAGGCAGCAGUGGGGGAUAUUGGGCAAUGGGCGCAAGCCUGACCCAGCGACGUCGCGUGGAUGAAGAAGGCCCUAGGGUUGUAAAGUCCUUUCGGCGGGGACGAUAAUGACGGUACCCGCAGAAGAAGCCCCGGCUAAUUUCGUGCCAGCCGCCGCGGUAAG
rnacentral:rRNA from 1 species